UUUUCCGUAGGUGAACCUGCGGAAGGAUCAUUACCGAGUUGAUUCGAGCUCCGGCUCGACUCUCCCACCCCAUGUGUACCUACCUCUGUUGCUUUGGCGGGCCGCGGUCCUCCGCACCGACCCCCGUUCGGGGGCCGGCCAGCGCCCGCCAGAGGACCACAAAACUCCAGUCAGUAAACGUCGCAGUCUGAGAAACAAGUUAAUAAACUAAAACUUUCAACAACGGAUCUCUUGGUUCUGGCAUCGAUGAAGAACGCAGCGAAAUGCGAUAAGUAAUGUGAAUUGCAGAAUUCAGUGAAUCAUCGAAUCUUUGAACGCACAUUGCGCCCCUUGGUAUUCCGAGGGGCAUGCCUGUUCGAGCGUCAUUUCAACCCUCAAGCUCUGCUUGGUAUUGGGCUCCGUCCUCCGCGGACGCGCCUCGAAGACCUCGGCGGUGGCGUCUUGCCUCAAGCGUAGUAGAAAACACCUCGCUUUGGAGCGCAUGGCGUCGCCCGCCGGACGAACCUUUGAAUUUUUCUCAAGGUUGACCUCGGAUCAGGUAGGGAUACCCGCUGAACUUAAGCAUAUCAAUAA
rnacentral:rRNA from 1 species